rnacentral:lncRNA from 1 species
AUUUAGUCCGGAUUCGGUUUUCCUUUUUUUAGAUGUUAUGACGCAGACGACAAGGACGCUGGGUGCGAUUGUUUAUGAGAAAUAUUGAUUUGGAGAGACGGACAUUUGAAUUAAAACAAAUGGAAUAAGAUAUGCAAACCAAGCAGAGGCGGAUUAUUUUCCGAGAAGAAGGUCGCUUUACAGCUUCAAAAAUGGGGACGACUUGUCAAACAGUCAACGAAACAAGAGGCAGAUUCAGAUAACUUAUUUUGGUAAAUAAUUAAUAAAUGGGUAGAUCACUCAGAUCGCUUAAACAAACACACUACAUAUAUUAAGUAUGUUGAAUGCAAUGUUGAAACGUUGCUAAUCAGCGUUGCCAUAUAUUUAUAUACAAACAAACAAACAUUCAUAGCAAGACCGUUGACAACGAUGUCAAGUCCGUUCGUCCUUGGCUUAUUGCAUGACAAUUUUGCCAUGUGUUCGUUCGCCCUACUGUUUUUAAAAACGAAACAAAUAUAUUUAAAUGGCAUAAAGGUUUUAUAAACUGAAUCAGAUAUUAUAUGAAAAAUAGUAGGGAUCUAGCAACC